ensembl:lncRNA
ACUUUGUUUCCAGGCACUGUGCUAGGAAUCUGUCACCCUCUUUAGUCCUCAUAACUCUCUGAGGUGGAUGGAGGAACUACUCAGCCCCACGAACAAUCCUGUGUUUGCUUCUGACUUCAUCAUGCAUCCUUGGAGAGACGAUUCCAACAAGAGAUAAGGUGGAGACUGUGAAGAUUCUUCUUCCAGAGUUUUUAGUCACUCACAAAACAGAUGUCAUUUUUGAAAAUGCCGAAUUGCAAAAUACACAAAAAAAUCAGCGUCCUUCAAGAAUACUGUUGUGCUUUCUUCUCAUUUGCUGGUAGGAAACAUGUGUGUCUUGAAUACCAAUUAUCUUUUCAGUUCAGUGUUUCCUUCAGAGAACAAAAACUUUCUGGUACAGCUGGAGAGGACAAAUAAAAUGGUAUCACAGAGGAGCAACUCGCACCUUGGAACCAGCUGUUUGUGCUAUUUUGUCAUCUUCUCUUUAACCCCUCAAGUUCUGGAAAAGGGUACAUGGAGAUUGAGGAGAACCAGUAUCACAACCAAGCUGGGGGACUCAAUGAAGAGUUGCUCCUUCAGCAAAUGAGCUUCACUAAAGGAAACCAACCCUGAAUAUUCAUUGGAAGGACUGACGCUGAAACUGAAGCUCCAGUAUUUUGGCCAUCUGAUGGAAAAAGCCAACUCACUGGAAAAGACCCUGAUGUUGGGAAAGAUUGAAGGCAGGAGGAGAAGGGGACAACAGAGGAUGAGCUGGUUGAAUGACAUCACCGAUUCAAUGGACAUGAGUUUGAGCGAACUCCAGGAGAUGGUGAAGGACAGGGAAGCCUGGUGUGUUGCAGUCCAUGGGGUUUCAGAGUCGGACACGGUUUAGCGACUGAACAACAACAAGAGUGUUUGAAGGAGGGGAUUCCCAGAGCAGAUGGAGGAACUUCCCACAUACCAGCUGUGCAGUCCAACUCGUGUUUUAUUAAAUAAUCCAUAUUGUUGAUGAUGUUGGGUAAUUCUGAGCACUCGAUCAUCGUGACUCAAUUCUGAGCAAGGGCUCUGGGCUCUUUUUAGGUAAGAUUUUCUUGUCAUUGUGUUGCUGUGUGCCAGCACUUGUGGCAGAGCUAGAUGUUCUCAGAUGGAAGCAAUGUUUCUCUGUCACCAGUAGGUGAUGUUGGGCUUCAUGGCUGCACUGUUUACUGUGAUGGCCCAUCUUUCCUGCCUUAACACUUUAGCUCACUUUGUACCCUUCGCCUGGAAUUCCCUUUCCACUUUUCUUCUCUUGAAGGUCCAGUUCAAAAAAUGUUUGAGUUCACGGAGGCUCUGUAACAACCUAGAG